rnacentral:rRNA from 1 species
UGGGGAAUUUUGGACAAUGGGCGAAAGCCUGAUCCAGCAAUGCCGCGUGUGUGAAGAAGGCCUUCGGGUUGUAAAGCACUUUUGUCCGGAAAGAAAUCCUUGGCUCUAAUACAGUCGGGGGAUGACGGUACCGGAAGAAUAAGCACCGGCUAACUACGUGCCAGCAGCCGCGGUAAUACGUAGGGUGCAAGCGUUAAUCGAAAUUACUGGGCGUAAAGCGUGCGCAGGCGGUUUGCUAAGACCGAUGUGAAAUCCCCGGGCUCAACCUGGGAACUGCAUUGGUGACUGGCAGGCUAGAGUAUGGCAGAGGGGGGUAGAAUUCCACGUGUAGCAGUGAAAUGCGUAGAGAUGUGGAGGAAUACCGAUUGCGAAGGCAGCCCCUGGGCCAAUACUGACGCUCAUGCACGAAAGCGU